rnacentral:lncRNA from 1 species
UUUCCGUUCUUUCCGUUCUUUCCGUUCUUUCCGUUCUUUCCGUUCUUUCCGUUCUUUCCGUUCUUUCCGUUCUUUCCGUUCUUUCCGUUCUUUCCGUUGUUGUUUUUGAACUGUCACCUAAUUUUCUGCCCUAUGUUUCUUUCUUUGUGGAGGUUCUUUCCGUUCUUUCCGUUCUUUCUGUUGUUGUAUUUGAACUGUCACCUAAUUUUCUGCUCUAUGUUUCUGUCUCUGUGGAGGUACUUUCCGUUCUUUCCGUUCUUUCUGUUGUUGUUUUUGAACUGUCACCUAAUUUUCUGCCCUAAGUUUCUGUCUCUGUGGAGGUACUUUCCGUUCUCUCCGUUCUCUCCGUUCUCUCCGUUCCUUUUGUUGUUUUUGAACUGUCUCCUAAUUUUCUGCCCUAUGUUUCUGUCUCUGUGGAGUUUCUUUCCGUUCUUUCCGUUCUGUCCGUUCUUUCCGUUGUUUCCGUUCUUUCCGUUCUUUUUGUUGUUUUUGAACUGUCACCUAAUUUUCUGCCCUAUGUUUCUGUCUCUGUGGAGGUUCUUUCCGUUCUUUCCGUUCUUUCCGUUGUUGUUUUUGAACUGUCACCUAAUUUUCUGCACUAUGUUUCUGUCUCUGUGGAGGUUCUUUCCGUUCUUUCCGUUCUUUCCGUUCUUUCCGUUCUUUCCAUUCUUUCUGCAGUUGUUUUUGAACAGUCACCUAAUUUUCUGCCCUAUGUUUCUGUCUCUCUGGAGGUUCUUUCCGUUCUUUCCGUUCUUUCUGUUCUUUCCGUUCUUUCCGUUCUUUCCGUUCUUUCCGUUCUUUCUGUUGUUGUUUUUCAACUGUCACCUAAUUUUCUGCCCUAUGUUUCUGUCUCUGUGGAGGUUUUCCGUUCUUUCCGUUCUUUCUGUUCUUUUUCAACUGUAACCUAAUUUUCUGCCCUAUGUUUCUGUCUCUGUGGAGGUUCUUUCCGUUCUUUCCGUUCUGCCCGUUCUUUCCGUUCUUUUUGUUGUUUUUGAACUGUCACCUAAUUUUCUGCCCUAUGUUUCUGUCUCUGUGGAGGUUCUUUCCGUUCUUUCCGUUCUUUCGGUUCUUUCCGUUCUUUCUGUUGUUGUUUUUGAACUGUCACCCAAUUUUCUGCCCUAUGUUUCUGUCUCUGUGGAGGUUCUUUCCGUUCGUUCCGAACUGUCACCUAAUUUUCUGCCCCAUGUUUCUGUCUCUGUGGAGGUUCUUUCCGUUCUUUCCGUUCUUUCUGUAGUUGUUUUUGAACUGUCACCUAAUUUUCUGCCCUAUGUUUCUGUCUCUGUGGAGGUUCUUUCCGUUCUUUCCGUUCUUUCCUAUCUUUCCUAUCUUUCCUGUCUUUCCUAUCUUUCCGUUCUUUCCGUUCUUUCCGUUCUUUCCGUUCUUUCUGUUGUUGUUUUUGAACUGUCACCUUAUUUUCUGCCCUAUGUUUCUGUCUCUGUGGAGGUUCUUUCCGUUCUUUCCGUUCUUUCCAUUCUUUCUGCAGUUGUUUUUGAACUGUCACCUAAUUUUUUGCCCUAUGUUUCUGUCUCUGUAAAGGUUCUUUCCGUUCUUUCCGUUCUUUCCGUUCUUUCCGUUGUUGUUCCUGACCUGUCCCCUAAUUUUCUGCCCUAUGUUUCUGUCUCUGUGGAGGUUCUUUCCGUUCUUUCCGUUCUUUCCGUUCUUUCCGUUCUUUUUGUUGUUUUUGAACUGUCACCUAAUUUUCUGCCCUAUGUUUCUGUCUCUGUGGAGGUUCUUACCGUUCUUUCCGUUCUGUCCGUUCUUUCCGUUGUUGUUUUUGAACUGUCACCUAAUUUUCUGCCCUAUGUUUCUGUCUCUGUGGAGGUUCUUUCCGUUCUUUCCGUUCUUUCUGUUGUUGUUUUUGAACUGUCACCUAAUUUUCUGCCCUAUGUUUCUGUCUCUGUGGAGGUUCUUUCCGUUCUUUCCGUUCUUUCUGUUGUAGUUUUUGAACUGUCACCUAAUUUUCUGCCCUAUGUUUCUGUCUCUGUGGAGGUUCUUUCCGUUCUUUCCGUUGUUUCCGUUGUUGGUCUUGACCUGUCACCUAAUUUUCUGCCCUAUGUUUCUGUCUCUGUGGAGGUUCUUUCCGUUCUUUCCGUUCUUUCCUUUGUUUUUUUUGAACUGUCACCCACUUUUCUGCUCUAUGUUUCUGUCUCUGUGGAGGUACUUUCCGUUCUUUCCGUUCUUUCCGUUCUUUCCAUUCUUUCCGUUGUUGGUCUUGACCUGUCACCUAAUUUUCUGCCCUAUGUUUCUGUCUCUGUGGAGGUUCUUUCCGUUCUUUCCUUUCUUUCCGUUGUUUCCGUUGUUGGUCAUGACCUUUCACCUAAUUUUCUGCCCUAUGUUUCUGUCUCUGUGGAGGUUCUUUCCGUUCUUUCCGUUCUUUCUGUUGUUGUUUUUGAACUGUCACCUAAUUUUCUGCCCUAUGUUUCUGUCUCUGUGGAGGUUCUUUCCGUUCUUUCUGUUGUUGGUCAUGACCUGUCACCUAGUUUUCUGCCAUAUGUUUCUGUCUCUGUGGAGGUUGUUUCCGUUGUUUGUUUCCGUUGUUUGUUUCCGUUGUUUGUUUCCGUUGUUUGUUUCCGUUGUUUGUUUCCGUUGUUUGUU